UUCCCCACCCAAUUAGCUUCACUGCAUGACCGCCGAGUACAUAACCUGUGACGUGUUUGUAAACUCCUGACUUGUAGUGAGCAAAAUCCUGUGAAGAGGUCCAAUUAGUAAAGGUUAACGUAAUCUUUAUGUUUGAGGUCUAGACACUACAUGCAAAAUGAUGCAGGUAAUAGUCACGGAUGCUUUAGUUCAUUGAAAGGUCACUGGCAAAGACGGGCCCUUCGAAAUGCUUUAACAGGAAGGAUGCUAUAAUAUAUUAAAGUGCUGCUCGAAUAAUGGGGACAAGAAAGUGACAUAAGAAGUUGUAGUUGCAUGUAAGAGACCAAACAAAUAAAUAAAUGACUCCUGAAGGUUAAUGCUUUUAAUAAAGAGAAUCCAAUGACUCAAAAAUCUGCUAAAGGGGCUUAAUAGCUAGGGGGUGACCAAUGCAACAAUAGGGCCAGGUUGUUGUAAGGCCUGUUCUAUUUUUGGUAAGCUAAAAUUGUAUCUCCAUCAGUUAUGAUUGAUAAUACUAAUUUCUGAUUUAAAAUUACUUUCUAUCCUAAUGUCAAUCCACAACCUAAAGUCUAAAAGAUGACAACUGCCCCCAUUUUUGUUCUGAUAGAGAGAGCAACCAAAUAAAGGGGGAAAGAAAGAAAAAGAAUAAAUCUUAAAUGUUGAACCACUUUUUUAAGCAUAAUUCACUACGCGUUUUAGCAGACUGAAUGCUAAGAAAUGAAUCCUAAUACGAAAACCCUUGCGCACAAUCCUUGUCCUAAUAUGAUCCCUUAAUGAGCACCACAUACCCUUGAAAAGCCUACUACUUUUGAGUAUUAAUCAAGUGUAGGAAUGGAAUAUGAUCUUAGUUUACUCAGUAUUUUUGGUCCAAGACCUUUACCAUGUUAUUCAUACGACCAUACGCAUUUUAUUCCACCUUUUUCUCAUUUGAAAUUUGAUGUUUUAUCUUUAUCUGUAAACAUUAAACUUAAACCCUCCAUGAAAGCCAGUAGCUCCUGACAUAUGCGCGAGUGAGAACCAGCCCCAAAGGAACCAUUAAGGAGGAGUAUAAUAUACCACCGAAGAUGAGAGCAAUGCACCGACUAGCUAAUGCUGGUGAAAGUAAAGGUAUUGACCAAAAGCAACCGACCCCAUCAGCACAGACAUUAGACUUAUCAAAGAAAACUAGGGCUACGUACAUGAUUUGCAAGUUUAAGGAGCAAACUUAAAAGAUAGGUAAAUAUGGAAAACAUAUAUAUAGACUUUAGAGGCACCCAGAAAGAUGAGCAUGACACAAAUCAGGAAUGUGUGAAGAUCUACGAAACGAUGAAAUACACAAAAGGAACAACAUGUAGACAAUGAGAGACUUGCGAUUGAGUAUGAAAAACCCAAAACACACGAAAAGAAAAAUUCCCCGCUGGUGACGUUUGGGGAAGUUAAUUAUAAAAUCUCGGUGUAGCUAAAACUAAGCACCAAUGCCAAUAUGACAAUUAAGGAGAAAACAUAAUAAGGAAAAGUUCAUAAUAAAAAUUGAAAAUCGCCAUGUUAUAGCAGAUUUCUUUUACAGACUAUAAACCCAACAACUUUAUUACCCACUAAUUAUCACUCCAGUCCAUUUAUCUGAUCCCAAACCAUUCUCCCAUAACAUAUCUUCUUUAAACUUUUAUACCCAAAAGAAUCCUCAAUCGUAUCAUAUUCAAUUUGCAAACCCACUCGAUGCCAGUACCAUAGAUUCGGCAGGCCCAAUUAAAUGUUAUACAUUAUUAAGAGGUAUUUAGCAUAUUCAUAUCAAAAGAGCUGUUCUGUUCGUACAACCUCGUCUGAUUAGAGCUUUUUAAGCAGCAUUUCUGUGAUGAAACCAGGACUAAAUAGAAACUCCGAAAUCUGAUUUAAGUCAUUUUGAAAAUCAAGGUUCUUUUAACAAUUUUUAUCCGUUUGUGAAAAAAUUUGUAGCUUUAAAAUCAUUCAUAACAAAUUAUCUCCACCCACUACUUUGUGUCAUUUAGUUGUGAUUUUAUUACUGACUCAACCUUCCAUAUAGUUAAAAAUUAAAAUACUGAAAAUGUCAACAUUAAUAACCUCUCUUAGUUGAUAACUCUAGAACUAACAUCCCUUCAUUUUUGUAACAAAUGCAAUCAAGCUUGUAGAAAUGUCUACCUAUGCCAUAUAUAGUGGGUAAAUUUCAAACAUUUCGUAAGUGAAUUCUGCAUAGCAGUUUAAAUAUUAUGUAUGGUAGUAACUGCAAUGGGUGUGCCGCCAACAAUAAUUGUCACCAUUUAUUUGUUAUUGUGUUGACGUAAUCUAAAUCCAAUGAGAAAAUGACACGUGUGCUGUGUAAAAAUAUUGUAAAAAAAUCUGUGUUAACAUAUCAUUGCCCAAGCCCUCUUUUGUAGUUGUGACAUUAACAACUCACACUGCUACCCUAAAAUGAAUUUUCAACUUUCUUAAUUCAUUAUAUCAUAACCUAAGUAACUGCACAACCUACUUCUCUUGCAAACACUAUCCCAACAUUGCAAUCAACAUAAAUAAAACAAGUGCUCUCAAUAAUACAGAUAUAAUAAACACCUUUAAUCUAAGAAGAAAUUGCAUGAAAUCUACUUAAAUGACAUUCAUACUCCUUCUAGAUUUUAAUCACACACCCACCUCUAAGAUGUUUUUUUAACACAUACCCUUUAUUUGAUUAAUAAAGUGAUACAUACAACCCUUCUUUGAUGCUAUGAGAAGGAGAGUCUCUUUUUAAAACUAGAGGGGUUAAGAAAGAUUUGUGCAACUUUCCCUUAAUUCAAUAAUAGUUCUUUAAGAAAUGGCCUAGGGUUAAAGAACACUACCCCUAACUUCAAUGUUCCCCCUAUACCAAACCACUAUUUUUCAACUCUUACCAAUACUUCAUGUAAAUCUUUGAAAGAGUAAUAUAUCUUCAAUAUUCCAGAAAAAAGUCAAUCCACAAUUAGUUCGAGGAUCCAAAAUAACCACAGAAGAGUUCAACAUAGAUAUUUAUUCUAAAAAAGUUUAGAGUCAAGAAUAAUGGAAAGCGACAAAUGGUCAAAAUCACUCAGUCAUUGAGCCUCCAACAAUAGAAUAUUCACUUCAAGUUCCCCACAACUUCCUCUAAACUAUGAAAACCUGCUACUGAUUUCCAUUCCUCUCCACCUAUCCAUAAGUUUUUAUUUUGUAACAUGUUUUCCAUGUUAGAUCACAUGCACCAAUCUCAAACACUCUGAACCGAUUGUUUCCAAAUUAUUGUCAUAUAAUUAUAAAUUAUAGAUAGGAUGUUUUGAGUUUUUGAAAUUUACCAUUUAAAGUUGCAGAAAAUUUAAUUGCAGAGUGUGGAUAAGAGUUCUCAUUUACCUCAUAAACAGUAAAUGCGACCUCAACUGGCCCAUUUUUGUACACUUCUGCCAUGAUGUCAUGGGGAUUAGAGUUGACCUUGUAGGCAUUGACACUGUAGUGCUUUGACUUCUUCCACAGCUGGUUCCCACUUACACACUUUUUAACACACUUGGGAGUCCGAUAAGCUGGCUCACAUCCAG
rnacentral:lncRNA from 1 species